CCCAGACUCCUACGGGAGGCAGCAGUGGGGAAUAUUGCACAAUGGGGGGAACCCUGAUGCAGCGACGCCGCGUGGGCGAGGAAGUAUUUCGGUAUGUAAAGCCCUAUCGGCAGGGAAGAAGAAAUGACGGUACCUGAAUAAGAAGCACCGGCUAAAUACGUGCCAGCAGCCGCGGUAAUACGUAUGGUGCAAGCGUUAUCCGGAUUUACUAGGUGUAAAGGGAGCGUAGACGGUUCUGCAAGUCUGAAGUGAAAGCCCGUGGCUUAACCGCGGAACGGCUUUGGAAACUGUGGAACUGGAGUGCUGGAGAGGCAAGCGGAAUUCCUAGUGUAGCGGUGAAAUGCGUAGAUAUUAGGAGGAACACCAGUGGCGAAGGCGGCUUGCUGGACAGUAACUGACGUUGAGGCUCGAAAGCGUGGGGAGCAAACAGGAUUAGAUACCCGUGUA
rnacentral:rRNA from 1 species